rnacentral:SRP_RNA from 1 species
GCCGGGCGUGGUGGCGCGCGCCUGUAGUCCCAGCUACUCGGGAGGCUGAGGUGGGAGGAUCGCUUGAGUCCAGGAGUUCUGGGCUGCAGUGCGCUAUGCCAAUCGGGUGUCCGCACUAAGUUCGGCAUCAAUAUGGUGACCUCCCGGGAGCGGGGGACCACCAGGUUGCCUAAGGAGGGGUGAACCGGCCCAGGUCGGAAACGGAGCAGGUCAAAACUCCCGUGCUGAUCAGUAGUGGGAUCGCGCCUGUGAAUAGCCACUGCACUCCAGCCUGGGCAAUAUAGUGAGACCCUGUCUCUA